CUUCUUGAAGAGAUCUUGUUAAUAAAGAAAACUAAGUAUGAAAACUUACUGCAGUAGGAGAGUGCACUGCCUUGAUGUGCUUAGCUGUGCCUCAGAACCAGAAAAUUAGAGAUUAGAGGUUUGGGAUCUGUGUUCAAAUGGUUUAAGGCAUAUCUGUCAAGAGAGGAAACUGAUCAGAUUUGACUAAGUUAAUGAAAUGGUUUAGGAUUCGUGGACACAGCAAGCAAGGACCUUAAAGAGUCUUGAUAAACUGUUGUUUGAUAAAUGAGCUGUAUGCCCAGGUAAGCAAAUUAUUGUCUCCCUCCUAUCAGAAUUUCUUUAUGCAAACAAAAAUUAGGGACUGUUUCUGUUUGGUUUUUUGUUUGCUUUGUUUACAAUCUUAUCUUUCCUAGGCAAAGAUUUCCUGGAAUAAACAACUAAAUUAUAUUGAUACAGCAUCCUCAGGCCACCCCUCCCCUGUUGCAAACUUCCCGGGAGUUGGGCUGCUACAAUUCGCAUGGAGACUCUCCUGCCACCUACGCGUUUCCCAGAGCAACAGCAUGAGCAGUUUAGGGGGAAGCAAGGCAAGUCGACAGAAUAGAUCCUCAAGUGAUGUGGACUCAGUUUCUUGCUGGAAUUUGCAAAGCCGAUUUAAAUAUGAUCUUAGUUGUCAGAAGAUUGCUUUUAAAAUGUAGAAAUUAAAGAAGACAGUCUCUGAGAAUGCAAAUUUUGAAGAACUUGGAAUCUUUUUCAUUUCAAAUAUAAUAUUAACCACAGAGCUCAUCUGGCUGGAUAUCACAGAGUUUACAACAUGAGGAAAUCAAAAUAAUAAAAACAGCCUCUCUACCUUGCUGGUGUUCGGU
rnacentral:lncRNA from 1 species